rnacentral:rRNA from 1 species
AGAGUUUGAUCCUGGCUCAGAUUGAACGCUGGCGGCAUGCUUUACACAUGCAAGUCGAACGGCAGCACGGGGGCAACCCUGGUGGCGAGUGGCGAACGGGUGAGUAACACAUCGGAACGUACCCAGUUGUGGGGGAUAACCUACCGAAAGGUAGGCUAAUACCGCAUGAGCUCGGGAGAGGAAAGCGGGGGACCCAGCGAUGGGCCUCGCGCGAUUGGAGCGGCCGAUGUCCGAUUAGCUAGUUGGUGGGGUAAAGGCCCACCAAGGCGACGAUCGGUAGCUGGUCUGAGAGGAUGAUCAGCCACACUGGGACUGAGACACGGCCCAGACUCCUACGGGAGGCAGCAGUGGGGAAUUUUGGACAAUGGGGGCAACCCUGAUCCAGCCAUGCCGCGUGAGUGAAGAAGGCCUUCGGGUUGUAAAGCUCUUUCGGUGGGAACGAAAUGGCCCGUGCCAACACCAUGGGUCGAUGACGGUACUCACAGAAGAAGCACCCGGCUAACUACGUGCCAGCAGCCGCGGUAAUACGUAGGGUGCGAGCGUUAAUCGGAAUUACU